UACGUAGGGCGCAAGCGUUAUCCGGAAUUAUUGGGCGUAAAGAGCUCGUAGGCGGUUUGUCGCGUCUGCCGUGAAAGUCCGGGGCUCAACUCCGGAUCUGCGGUGGGUACGGGCAGACUAGAGGUAUGCAGGGGAGAACGGAAUUCCUGGUGUAGCGGUGGAAUGCGCAGAUAUCAGGAGGAACACCGGUGGCGAAGGCGGCCCACUGGAUCGGUACUGACGCUGAGGUGCGAAAGCGUGGGGAGCAAACGGG
rnacentral:rRNA from 1 species